AGUCGAGGGGUACAGGGAAGCUUGCUUCUGCUGACGACCGGCGCACGGGUGCGGAACGCGUAUGGAACCUGCCCCUGUCAGAGGGAUAGCCCAUGGAAACGUGGAUUAAUACCUCAUGGUAAUGCGGGAUUGCAUGAUUUUGCAUUUAAAGAUUUAUCGGACAGGGAUGGCCAUGCGUAUCAUUAGCUAGUUGGCGAGGUAACGGCUCACCAAGGCGACGAUGAUUAGGGGCCCUGAGAGGGGGAUCCCCCACACUGGUACUGAGACACGGACCAGACUCCUACGGGAGGCAGCAGUGAGGAAUAUUGGACAAUGGUCGGAAGACUGAUCCAGCCAUGCCGCGUGCAGGAAGACGGCCCUAUGGGUUGUAAACUGCUUUUCUACAGGAAGAAUGAUACCCUCGUGAGGGUAGUUGACGGUACUGUAGGAAUAAGGACCGGCUAACUCCGUGCCAGCAGCCGCGGUAAUACGGAGGGUCCGAGCGUUAUCCGGAAUCAUAGGGUAUAAAGGGUCCGUAGGUGGAGCUCUAAGUCAGAGGUGAAAGGUUGCAGCUCAAAUAGUAGAACUGCCUUUGAUACUGGAGCUCUUGAGUCAUGUUGCUGUGGCCGGAACAUGUGGUGUAACGGUGAAAUGCAUAGAUAUCACAUAGAACACCGAUUGCGAAGGCAGGUCACAAAACAUGCACUGACACUGAGGGACGAAAGCGUGGGGAGCGAACGGGAUUAGAUACCCCGGUAGUCCACGCUGUAAACGAUGGAUACUAGCUGUUGGACUUCGGUUCGGCGGCCAAGCGAAAGUGAUAAGUAUCCCACCUGGGGAGUACGUUCGCAAGAAUGAAACUCAAAGGAAUUGACAGGGGCCCGCACAAGCGGUGGAGCACGUGGUUUAAUUCGAUGAUACGCGAGGAACCUUACCAGGGCUUAAAUGGGAGACGACAGGGGCAGAGACGCCUCUUUCUUCGGACGUUUUUCAAGGUGCUGCAUGGUUGUCGUCAGCUCGUGCCGUGAGGUGUCAGGUUAAGUCCUAUAACGAGCGCAACCCCUGCCGUUAGUUGCCAGCGAGUAAAGUCGGGGACUCUAACGGGACUGCCGGUGCAAACCGUGAGGAAGGUGGGGACGACGUCAAAUCAUCACGGCCCUUACGUCCUGGGCUACACACGUGCUACAAUGGUCGGUACAAUGGGAAGCUACCCUGUGAGGGGAUGCGGAUCUUAAAAGCCGAUCACAGUUCGGAUCGGGGUCUGCAACUCGACCCCGUGAAGCUGGAAUCGCUAGUAAUCGGAUAUCAGCCAUGAUCCGGUGA
rnacentral:rRNA from 1 species